GAUGAACGCUGGCGGCGUGCCUAAUACAUGCAAGUCGAGCGAAUGGAUUAAGAGCUUGCUCUUAUGAAGUUAGCGGCGGACGGGUGAGUAACACGUGGGUAACCUGCCCAUAAGACUGGGAUAACUCCGGGAAACCGGGGCUAAUACCGGAUAACAUUUUGAACCGCAUGGUUCGAAAUUGAAAGGCGGCUUCGGCUGUCACUUAUGGAUGGACCCGCGUCGCAUUAGCUAGUUGGUGAGGUAACGGCUCACCAAGGCAACGAUGCGUAGCCGACCUGAGAGGGCGAUCGGCCACAUUGGGACUGAGACACGGCCCAGACUCCUACGGGAGGCAGCAGUAGGGUAUCUUCCGCAAUGGACGAAAGUCUGACGGAGCAACGCCGCGUGAGUGAUGAAGGCUUUCGGGUCGUAAAACUCUGUUGUUAGGGAAGAACAAGUGCUAGUUGAAUAAGCUGGCACCUUGACGGUACCUAACCAGAAAGCCACGGCUAACUACGUGCCAGCCGCCGCUGUAA
rnacentral:rRNA from 1 species